rnacentral:rRNA from 1 species
UACGAAGGGGGCAAGCGUUGUUCGGAAUUAUUGGGCGUAAAGCGCCCGCAGGCGGCUUGGCAAGUUCGAGGUGAAAUCUCCCGGCUCAACUGGGAGGGUGCCUCGGAAACUGCCAGGCUUGAGGCAGGGAGAGGGAUGUGGAAUUCCCGGUGUAGUGGUGAAAUUCGUAGAUAUGGGGAGGAACACCGGUGGCGAAGGCGGCCACCUGGACGGAUACUGACGCUGAGACGCGAAAGCGUGGGUAGCAAACAGG